rnacentral:rRNA from 1 species
AUUGAACGCUGGCGGCAGGCAUAACACAUGCAAGUCGAGCGAGCGGCGGACGGGUGAGUAAUGUCUGGGAAACUGCAUGAUGGAGGAGGAUAAGUACUAGAAACGGUAGCUAAUACCGCAUACCAUCAGAUUUGCCCUUGUGGGAUUAGCUAUUAGGUGGGGUAACGGCUCACCUAGCCGACGAACCCUAGCGGGUAUGAGAGGAUGACCAGCCACACGGGAACGGAGACACGGUCCAGACUCCGACGGUAGGCAGCAGUGGGGAAUAUUGCACAAUGGGCGCAAGCCUGAUGCAGCCAUGCCGCGUGUGGGAAGAAGGCCUUCGGGUUGGAAAGCACUUUCAGCGGGGAGGCGUGACCCGCAGAAGAAGCACCGGCUAACUCCGUGCCAGCAGCCGCGGUAAUUC